UCCACCUUUGCUGCGCUGGGUGCUGGGGUCACUCAGUGCCAGGGUGACAGCCUCCCUGAGUGCAAGGGUUUGCAGUCAGCUCACUGCUCAUCACAGAAGACUGCAGUGUUUUUUUAAGGAGAAAGGAAACGAAGUCCCCCAUGAUCGUCCACAUUUUGACACGAUGUCCCCAGGAUGUUUCUAUCUCCGUCUAGUUCCGUUCCACUGUCCUGCAGCUCAGCAGAGGCAUGGUGACAUCAUGAAGCCACAAGAGGCAACCUGUCUUCUGAGCCCCGAAAGAAUCAGACAAGAGAAAGGCCCUGCUGAAAAGGUCUUGGAAAACAAGCUGGAACCUGUCAGAACCCAAGCAAGGGCACAGUCAGCCUCCUGCUGAGCUUCCAGCCCUGUUCCCAGGCUCUGCAGCUCCCCAUGGCCUCCAGAAGACACUCAAAAAAUGUCACCCUGCCUUGGGGCCAGAGUCACAAAUGAGGUGCCUCAGUGAACAUCUGUACAGCUUUGAUUGUGUAUCAUGGGCGUGAAUUUUCUGGUUUAAAAAAAAAAAAACUGAGCAGGGCAUGGUGGUGCAUGCCUGUAAUCCCAGCACGUGGGAGGCUGAGGUAGGAGGAUCACCAAGAGUUCAAGUCCAGCCUGGGCUACAUAGUGAGUUCAAAGUUAGCCUGAACUAAAUAGUGAGACCCUGUCUCAUAAAAAUAAUAAAACAAAACAAAAUAAAACUGUUAUUAAGUAUAAAAGUAAUGUGAAAGUAUCUGCGGACA
rnacentral:lncRNA from 1 species